rnacentral:lncRNA from 1 species
GAAUUAUUGAGCUGGGCAUUGAAGAGUGGGUAGGAGUCUCCCAGGCAGAUGGGAAGACCAAGGCCACACCAGAAAGGUCAGCAUUAACAAGUGCUCAGAGACCAGAAAUGUAUACAAUGUUCAUGAACUCAUGAAAGUCUUCUGUACCCAGAAUGCAGCAGGUACGGCCAAGUCCGGAUCAAGGAGUGGCAUUCCCACUUUGAUGUUGACUGUCACGCUCUGCUGCUUGACGAUCUCUUUGGCUGCCUGCAAGUCUGUUGUCCUGGGAGACCAGAUCCACAGACGAGGCAUAAGAAUAAAGCUGUGUGCUCACCAGCGUGUACAGACACACUUGCUGACACGACUCCAUUGUGAGGAGAGGAAGUGGAAAGACAAGGGCCACCUCUGAUCCCCUCGGUGAGUGGUUCCUCUCUCUCGAGCCCCUGGGCUCGUAGCCACAAAUGAUAAUAAUCCACCUGAGCAGGUGGCUGUGCGUAGUGAGGGAGCUGCUGUAUCUCAACCUCCAUACCCAGCAUCUGACUUCGUGGACCAACGUGGCACAAUUGCUGCAACAAACUAUCAUUUCCUAUUUCAGUCUGUGACUCAGAAGCCUGCAAAUAUUAAGUAUCUAUGCCAUCUGGGGGAUUUUUUUGUUUGUUUGUUUUGUAUAUCUGUAUUCACCUGUCAAGUGAUCCAUUUCUCCAAGGAUGCUUAGAACAUCAAACCUGCUUCUUUGUGAUAAGGGCCUCGGUAGUUUACUCUAAAAGUUCACCCCAUGCCAGGUUCAAAAGCACAACAUUAAACUAUGCCCCGGACUUUCCUUUAAAAUAGCUUUUUAAAAUUUGUUUAUCUUCUUAAGUUGUCGUAAAAUGCCCACAUAAAAUGUUUAUCUUUACCAUUUUCAAGUGUAUAUAUCAGGGGCGCUGCGUGCAUUCACGCUGUUGUGCAACCAACCCCACCAUCCAUCCCCAGGACUGUUUUCAUCUUGCAAAACUGAACCUCUGUCCCGUGACACUCUAACCCCCCUUUCCCUCCCUUCCACUCCUGGCAUUCUACUUUGCAUCUCUAUGGGUUUGACACCUCGCCUCUAGGAACCUCACAUAAGCAGAGUCCUACAGUAUCUGUUCUGUUGGCUUAAUUUCAAUAAACAUGUCCUAAAGUUUCA